rnacentral:tRNA from 1 species
UAUUCAAAGCGGGAUUCGAUCCCGGGUCGUAGCGGUCGAAAACCAACAGUUUAGACCACUCAUCCACCAAACC